UGCGCGAAACAGGAGAACCUCGCCUUCCUGCGGAGCUGUGGUCCCCCACAGGCUGUUGUGCCCGGCGUUUCAGCUGUGCUGCUCCUGGGUGGCGGGGCCCGGGGCGCACCCCCUUCCGCCCCAACCCAGUGUAGUGGGGCGCUGUCCGGGAGAGGGGCGGGAGAGGCGGGCGUCGGUCUCCGACCGUGAGCGCCAGUCUGCAGCGCCCUCUGGGCGUGGGCACCGAGCGUUCUCCAGAUAGGAUGGAUGCAGCUGGAGCAGUCAUCUUGGACAUGAAGUAACCUUGAGAACAGAGACCGCGCAUGGCAGAGGACCAGGUAGAAGGAGCUUGGGUCCCCAGGCAACGAAGCAGCACACCAGCCUGGGACUGCCCACGCAGCUGUGUGCAUGAUGGAGGGAUCGACUUCUGCGUUUCUUCAGACAUGGUUAUCCGGAUUUUCUACCCUCGCCAGGGACCCUGACAAUACACUGGUCAACCUGGCCUUCUGCACCUGCCCCAGAAGAGUGUGGGGAGGACCGUUGCGUGUGGGGAGGUGGGAGAAGGAGGUUUCUGAAGGUGCUGCUGAUAGGUCCCCAGGGGGGGGGGGUGACCCCACUAGCUCCCCAGUCCUGGACUGUAUUAAAUUCUGGAUUUGAUUCACA